rnacentral:rRNA from 1 species
AUUGAACGCUGGCGGCAUGCCUUACACAUGCAAGUCGAACGGCAGCACGGGUGCUUGCACCUGGUGGCGAGUGGCGAACGGGUGAGUAAUACAUCGGAACGUACCUUAUCGUGGGGGAUAACGCAGCGAAAGUUGCGCUAAUACCGCAUACGCCCUGAGGGGGAAAGCGGGGGACCGUAAGGCCUCGCGCGAUUAGAGCGGCCGAUGUCUGAUUAGCUUGUUGGUGAGGUAAAAGCUCACCAAGGCGAUGAUCAGUAGCUGGUCUGAGAGGACGAUCAGCCACACUGGGACUGAGACACGGCCCAGACUCCUACGGGAGGCAGCAGUGGGGAAUUUUGGACAAUGGGGGCAACCCUGAUCCAGCAAUGCCGCGUGAGUGAAGAAGGCCUUCGGGUUGUAAAGCUCUUUUGCCAGGGAAGAAACAGCAGCUCUAACGCAGUCUGCGAAUGACGGUACCUGAAGAAUAAGCACCGGCUAACUACGUGCCAGCCGCCGCGGUAA